rnacentral:rRNA from 1 species
GUGAAAGUCCUGUGUGUCAUGUGCAUGUUGUUGUGCACGGUGCUUUUCAUUGAGUCACGUUCCUUGGGAUUGGAGCGCAAAGCUGGUGGUAUAUUUCAUCUGCAGCUACAUAUGUAUACGAGACCGAUAGCAAACAAGUACCGUGAGGGAAAUAUGAAAAGGACUUUGAAAAGAGGGUUAAAAGUGUUUUGAAAUUGCUGGAUAUUAAGCGAAGGAAACAAGUGUGCUUGGCAAGAUUGCUGCAUAUUUGCAGAUAUGUGACAGUGUCAUGAUUUCCCUGUUGCUAUAUCAUGCAUGUUUGUGGUGUUUGUUGCCUUGCAUGUCAUCUUGUUCUGUGUAUAAGCAAAAUGUGAAUGGCAUGGUAUUUUGCACUGUGCAGGAGAAUGCUUUCCAUGGUGCAUAUUUACAUUGCAGUCGUCUAUGGUUGUAAAAUCCGACUUUCUCACACAUUAUUGUGUGCUGGAUGGUGGGUGUCUGUUCAGUUGAUUGCGA